GAUCAUGGCUCAGGAUGAACGCUAGCUACAGGCUUAACACAUGCAAGUCGAGGGGCAGCACAAGGCAGCAAUGCUGAGGUGGCGACCGGCGCACGGGUGCGUAACGCGUAUCCAACCUUCCCGUUACUCAUGGAUAGCCUUCCGAAAGGGAGAUUAAUACAUGAUGGUGUUGAAAUUCCGCAUGUUAUUUCAACUAAAGAUUUAUCGGUAACGGAUGGGGAUGCGUUCCAUUAGCUGGUUGGCGGGGUAACGGCCCACCAAGGCGACGAUCGUUAGGGGUUCUGAGAGGAAGGUCCCCCCACACUGGAACUGAGACACGGUCCAGACUCCUACGGGAGGCAGCAGUGAGGAAUAUUGGUCAAUGGGCGCGAGCCUGAACCAGCCAAGUAGCGUGGAGGAUGACUGCCCUACGGGAUGUAAACUUCUUUUGUUUGGGAAUAAAUGAUACUACGUGUAGUAUUUUGCAUGUACCUUACGAAUAAGCAUCGGCUAAUUCCGUG
rnacentral:rRNA from 1 species